rnacentral:lncRNA from 1 species
AUGUUUGUAAGUUAAAGUAGAAAGUCAUCCAAAACUAUCAUGGAUCUGUAUUUAGAGUUCUUCGUGUGCACAUAAUCCUUGCAUAUAUUUAAAAUAUCACCCAUCAAUUGUACCUUUGUAUAUGUGUGUAUAAUACAAUGUUGUGUGCAUAUCUUACAAGACACAUUAUCGUAUAGACAUAAUUGUCUAUAUAGAUAUUGUUGUUAGUGAACAAAUGGCAUUAUCCAAGAUAUUGAAAGAAAAACGUUAUGGAUGUUAGGAUUCUGGUGAACAGUUCCCGAGCCACCAUUUCUAAGUUCGUGGGAUUUUUGAGUGGCUUGAGUAGAGUUUUAUGAGAAAUUGAAUGAAUUAGGUGAUGUAAGUUGUUGUCAUUAGACAACUAUCUCCAAAGCAUGGGCAAAGGUUUAUUUUUCGCUCUUAUGUGACCCCUUUUAUUCACCAAUAGAAUAGUCGCAAAUCUAUGUACUUGGUGUAUGAACUACCUUUGAAGUCAGUAAUCUUAUUAGGGGUAAGGCAUCAUUCCUAGUCCAAAGGUGUAAUGGUUCUGCUGAGAUAAAUCAUUCUGGUAAUAAUGUUAGAGGGAAGGAGAGUCAGCCUAAAAAAGUGAGAUUACUGACUUUACAAGAUACUGGGAAAGUUCUACUGAUACAGUGUUUUCCUAGUCAUAAUUGCUAGAGGGAGAAACUAAGGCAAAUUUAUUGUAAGAUACUAAUGAAGGUUCGGAAGUGAGAGAGGAGGAACUGAAACUGUCUUCCAUUUCUCAGCUGCUCAUGGUUAAUGUAG